GAGGUGUGGUGUCCAUAGGUUGAGUGUCAGAAUUUCUGCCUGCUGAAGCCGUAAAUGGGAGACUGGGGAAAACAGGAGCAGAAUGGAAAAUGACAGCCUGGGAAGGAGGUGUGGUGUCCAUAGGUUCAGUGUCACAACUUCUGCCUGCUGAGGCCGUAAAUUGGGGGGCUGGGGAAAACAGGAGCCGAAUGGAAGAUAACAGCCUGGGAUGGAGGUGUUGUGUCCAUAGGUUCAGAGUCAGAGCUGCUACGUGCUGAAAUACCGAUGACGGCUGAAGCCCUAAAUGGGGGCUCAGGAACACAGGAUCCGAAUGGAAACUGACAGCCUGGGAUGGAGGUGUUUUGUCCAUAGAUUCAGUGUCAGAGCUUCUGCCUGCUGAAGCCGUAAAUGGGGGCUGGGGAAAACAGGAACCGAAUGGAAAAAGACAGCCUGGGAACGAGUUGUUUUGUCCAUAGGUUCAGUGUCAGAGCUUCUGGCUGCUGAAGCCGUAAAUGGGGGGCUGGGUAAAAUAGGAACCGAAUGUAAAAUGCCAGACUGGGAAGGCGGUUUGUUGUCCAUAGGUUCAGUGUCAGAGCUUCUGCCUGCUGACGACGUAAAUUGGGGUCUGGGGAAAACAGGAGUCGAAUUGAUACUGACAGCUUGGGAAGGAGGUGUGUUGUCCAUAGGAUCAUUGUUAGAGAUUCUGCCUUCUGAAGGCGUAAAUGGGGGGCUGGGGAAAACAGGAGCCAAGUGGAAAGUGAAAGCCUGGGAAAGAGGUGUUUUGUCUAUAGGUUCAGUGUCAGAGCUUCUUCCUGCUGAAGCCGUAAAGUGGGGCUGGGGAAAACUGAAAGCGAAUGGAAAAUGACAGCCUGCGAACGAGGUGUGUUGUCCAUAGAUUCUGUGUCAGAGCUUCUUCCUGCUGAAGCCGUAAAUGGAGGGCUGGGGAAAACAGGAGCCCAAUGGAAGGUGACAACCAAGGAAGGAGGUGUUUUGUCCAUAGGUUCACUAUCAGAGCUUCUGCCUGCUGCAGCCGUAAAGGGGGCCUGGGGAAAACAGGAACCAAAUGGAAAAUGACAGGGAAGGAGGUGUGGUGUCCAUAGGUUCAUGUCAGAGCUUCUGCCUGCUGAUGACGUAAAUGGGGGUCUGGGGAAAACAGGAGUCGAAUGGAAACUGACAGCCUCGGAAGGAUGUAUGUUGCCCAUAGGUUCAGUGUCAGAGCUUCUGCCUGCUGAAGCCGUAAAGUGGGCUGGGGCAAACAAGCGCCGAAUGGAAAAUGACAGCCUUGGAAGGAGGUUUGUUGUUCAUAGGUUCAUUGUCAGACCUUCUGCCUGCUGAAGCCAUAAAUUUGGGGCUGAGGAAAACAGAAGCCGAAUGGAAAAUGACACCUUGGGAAGGAGGUGUGUUGUCCAUAGUUUCAUUGUCAGAGCUUCUUCCUGCUGAAGCCGUAAAUGGGGGGCUGGGGAAAACAGGAGCCCAAUGGAAAGUGACAGCCUGGUAAGGAGGUAUUUUGUCCAUAGGUUCAGUAUCAGAGCUUCUGCCUGCUGAAGCCAUAAGUGUGAGACUUGGGAAACCAGGUUUAAAAUAAAAAAAAGCACCCUGGGAAGGAGGUGUGUUGUCCAUAGUUUCAGUGUCAGAGCUUCUGCCUGCUGAAGCCGUAAAUGGGGUGGUGGGGAAAACAGGAGCCGAAUGAGAAAUGACAGCUUGGGAAGGAGGUGUGUUGUCCAUAGGUUCAGUGUCAGAGCUUCUGCCUGCUGAAGCCGUAAAUAGGGUUCGGGAAAUCAGGAUCCGAAUGGAAAAUGACAGCCUGGGAAGGAGGUGUGCUGUUCAUAUGUUCAGUGUCAGAAUUGCUACCUGCUGACGUACCCAUGACGGCUGAAGCCCUAAAUGGUGGUUGAGGAAAACAGGAGCCGAAUGGAAAAUGACAGCCUGGGAAGGCGAUGUGUUGUCCAUAGGUUCUGUGUCAGAGCUUCUGCCUGCUGAAGCCGUAAAUUGGGGGCUGAGGAAUACAGGAACUGAGUGGAAAAUGACACCUUGAGAAGGAGGUGUGUUAUCCAUAGGUUCAGUGUCAGAGCUUCAACCUGUUGACGUACCCAUGACGGCUGAAGCCCUAAAUGGGGUGCUCAGGAAAACAGGAGCCAAAUGGAAAAUGACAUCCUAGGAAGGAGUUGUUUUUUCCAUAGGUUCAGUGUCAGAGCUUCUUCCUGCUGAAGCCGUAAAUUGGGGCUCGGGACAACAGGACCCGAAUGGAAAAUGACAGCCUGGGAUAGAGGUUUUCUGUCCAUAGUUUCAGUUUUGGGGCUGCUACCUGCUGAAGUACCCAUCACGGCUUAAGCCCUAAAUGGUGAGCUCAGGAAAACAGGAGUCUAAUGGAAAAUAACACCCUGGGAAGGAAGUGUGUUGUUCAUAGGUUCAGUGUCAGAGUUUCUGCCUGCUGAAGCUGUAAAUGGGUGGCUGGGGAAAACAUGAGCCGAGUGGAAAAUGACAUCCUUGGAAGGAGGUGUGUUGUCCAUCAGUUCAGUGUCACAGCUUCUGCCUGAUUAAGCCGUAAAUGAGGGGCUGGAGAAAACAGGGGCCGAAUGGAAAAUGACAGCCUGGGUAGGAGGUGUGUUGUCCAUAGGUUCAGUGUCAGAGCUGCUGCCUGCUGAAGCACUGAUGACGGCGAAGCCAUAAAUGGUGUUCUGGGGAAAACUGGAGCUGAAACAGUAAAUGCGCGGCUGGGGAAAACAGGAGCAGUAGGGGGAGAGGCUCUCUGCUUCCCAUCAGAGGUCCCACAUAUGGGCUGAAGGUUGGUUUGGAGUCCAAAGGGAUGGUUAAAAUUUGGGGUGUCGCAGGGGACCAUCGGCACAGGUGGGGUGAUAGACACUGGGACCUCCGCAGGGUGCCUCUUGUCCACCCUGAGACCUGGGGGAGACCUAAACAUGGCAGCUUUGGAAGAGGCAGUAGUAUCCAUGUAGACAUCAGUGUGUGCAGUAGACUGGAAGGUGAAACUUCCAGAUGCCGUGACCAUUCUCGUGGAAGGGAUUGCCAUAGAAGUCAUGGGCUGCCCAGUUAAAAUAGGGGGAUUGAUGGUAGGGACUGGAAGAGGGGUAGGUAAGUAUAAAGGAGGGGUAGGAUCUGUAGAAAUGCGUGUUGGGGGUUCCUUUUUGUGGGAUGGUGGCUGGAAGGAGAAAGCUGGGAUGCUAGGAGGUGGAGGGAGGUCAGAAAUAAGAGGUGUGUGGUUGUGACUGAAUGAAAAGGACCUUCAUUCUUCUUUAGUGGAAUUCCCCAAAUGGGAUCAGAAGCUGAAGCAGGAAGAGAAUCAGCAGGACUGGCAACUUAGGGACUGUGUAUCUUGUUUCCUGAUCAAUAUUAGGUGUUGGGGAAGGAGGAGGGACAGACAGGAUGGGGGACAUGGAAUAUAGGUUGGCCAAGUCGGUGGUAGUAGCAGGGACCUGCAAAGUGUGAGCGGCCGGGGGCAGGGAGUCUGCAGUCUGUGAGGCAGGUGGGGAGAGAGAAGGGGCAGACUGAGGGGCACUGCAGUCUUCCUUGACCGUCCUUAUAUUAUUCAGGAUCUUGUUCCACUGACACUCAGUGUUCUUCUCCAUGGUACCUGGGUUUUUGGCAGCAGCUAAGCACGGAAGCUUAGGAGGGAGCAGCUCGCCUCGAUCCCAUGUCAGUGCCUCAAUCCCCGAUGGGGACGACCUCAGCCCUGGCAGCAGCAGAAAAAGUGGCAGGGGAAUCUUCCUCUUGUAGGGCCUACUGCUGGUAGAUACCAGGGAAGAGGAGCUUUUUGAUUGGAUGUGUGAAGACUUUUCACACUGCAGCUCCUUCCCAGACAUCAGUGAGCCUGGUGAUUUGGGCCGGUGGUCUUCACCCAGCACUUCUUUUGUUGGCCUCUCCAGCAGCAGGGAGAAGCAUGCAGUUGGGGCAGAGAACACCAUGGCACGGGAUGGGACCUUCACCUCCCUCUACUUUGGGGAAGGAACUGGGAGGUGACUGGAUGGUAGCGGCUUCCUAACUUUGACUACUUGCUCAGGGCAGAAGUAGUAUUUGGAGUACUCUGAUAUCUAUCCUAAUAGAUAACAUUUUGUUCAUUUAAAUAGUUUUAAUGAGAGAGCUGGGAACUAGGGACACACAGCAUCAAGAGUUUUAUAAUGCAUUCUGUAGAGUUCUUUUUAAGUGUGUACAAAUAUAAAAAAUAAAUGCAUGCAUAUACACCUCUGUUACUUUAUUUAGUGCUUUACAAGAGUCCCUCAAGGAAGGGGUAGUAGCAACUAUCAGUAUCCUUCCUUUGCGAAGAGCUUAAUUUAUGCAAAAUUACAUCAUAAUUUAUUUGUAACUGAGAAACUAGACUUAGUUAUUGAGUAGACCCUCCCUAGAGACCUAUGACAUUAAUAAAACCAACAAAAAUUUGUUCAGUUUCCAAUGAUACACACACUACAGACUGAAUUAUGAGCCAUCCUUUUUUUUUUUUUUCCACUACGUGGGCCUCUCACUGUUGUGGCCUCUCCCGUUGCGGAGCACAGGCUCCAGACACGCAGGCUCAGCGGCCAUGGC